GUGUCUGGAGAGUGAGAGCCGACUUCUUGUUGAUCUCACCACCGAUGUAAUAGGGCAGGCCGCAGUUGGCAAAGGAGAUGUAUUCUCCCCGCUCAAACAUGAUGAUCUCUGCCUUUUCAUCCAGACGACGCAGACGGGCCGCCGCGGAAGCGCCGCCAGCCACGCCAC
rnacentral:antisense_RNA from 1 species